rnacentral:rRNA from 1 species
AUUGAACGCUGGCGGCAGGCCUAACACAUGCAAGUCGAGCGGAUGAAGGGAGCUUGCUCCUGGAUUCAGCGGCGGACGGGUGAGUAAUGCCUAGGAAUCUGCCUGGUAGUGGGGGAUAACGUCCGGAAACGGGCGCUAAUACCGCAUACGUCCUGAUGGAGAAAGUGGGGGAUCUUCGGACCUCACGCUAUCAGAUGAGCCUAGGUCGGAUUAGCUAGUUGGUGGGGUAAAGGCCUACCAAGGCGACGAUCCGUAACUGGUCUGAGAGGAUGAUCAGUCACACUGGAACUGAGACACGGUCCAGACUCCUAAGGGAGGCAGCAGUGGGGAAUAUUGGACAAUGGGCGAAAGCCUGAUCCAGCCAUGCCGCGUGUGUGAAGAAGGUCUUAGGAUUGUAAAGCACUUUAAGUUGGGAGGAAGGGCAGUAAGUUAAUACCUUGCUGUUUUGACGUUACCAACAGAAUAAGCACCGGCUAACUUCGUG